AAAAAAAACCAAUAUAACCAUACAUGGUUACGUUUCAAUGAUUGACGAAUUUAGAAAUAACAAAUCAUUUUGUCUAAAGGUUUUGUGAUGAAAGCUUGAUCACAGUUUUUUUAAGUCAAAUGCAUUAUAAUAAAUCGUAUUGAAGAUUUUUACGAAAAACCAAAAAAAUCUAACAUGAAAACGGUUUUUGUUAAAAUUAUAAUUUGUUUAUCAUAUUUGAUAAACAUAACGUACGGAUACAGUUAUACAAAAAAAAAUCAGACAUUAGCACCCAAAAGUAACAAGCAUGAUAUGGAAAUAAUAGCAUCAAUAUAGGUAUGAUGAUAUCGAAACUAUUAAAAAUAAAUUGAAAAAUAUCGAAAAACCAGGCCGGUCAAUAUAAAAGCCCGAGAUUGUAAUUUUUUGUUAGACUUGAGCAAAAGGUAGGUUACGCUGUCGAAGCUAUAUCAAAAGUUAAUACCAAAAAUUUGAAAAAACAAUUCAUCUACAACCACAGUAGGCCAGUCAAACCUACAUAAUGGAAUUAUUUUAAUUGGUAACAACAACAAGGAUUUAACCCUGAAUGUAUAUGCCGAUCAAGCUAAC